GGUUGCUAGAGUUGAGAAUAAAAGGAACUGAAUGACCAACCAGUGUUAAACUUCUUCCAGUAUAAGAAGUGAAAUUGGAGAGGGGUGGGGUAGCAAGGGUUGAAGUCCACUACAAACUAUGAAGAAAUGACUAAGGCCAGGAGAAGCCAAGAGUGAGUCAUGAUAAAGUUGGGUAAGGUAACUUCAAAUGAGUUUGCUUGUUUCACAAUGAGGCAAGAAGGGGAAAUUGCCUGGAAGAAACAGUGUAGAGGAGCAAAUAGCUCUGUUCCAACUCUAGACUACAAGGCUUAGGGUUAUGGAGAGGAAAACUAUUACCUGUGCUUGAGUGGCUUGUGGGACAGAGAUUUCCUACACUUCUGGGAGUGCGGCCUGAUGUCUGAGAAGAUGGAGGGAAAUCCUCGUUGGUGCAGACACCCUCCUGUGUGCAUCUGUUUGUCGUGGCCCAGCAUGUCUCAGCCCCAAGCCACGGUUCGGCCUGACUGGGGGAGCGUGGACUUGGAAACUCCUAGCAACCCAAUGGCGAUAAAGACCAAACACAGGCAUCUUGUCAUCUUUAGAGGGCUCUCGGUUCCGUGCUGCAGAACUGGAGUCUUUUCUUUAUUCAGCAUCUCCCUGGCUGUUUCCUAACCAUGCUUUCCUGGCCACAAGGCCGUUUCUGUCUCCUCCAGUUAACCCCUCUGCUAGGUUGCUCCUAACGCUCUCUGUCCUCACUUGUCCUGCACGCCGUACCCAGUGCAGAGCAUGAACUCACUGAACAUGGCUGGAUGCUUUACUGUAGCUAUACACUUCGAACCACAAGGAUAAUAAGUAGUGCUUCUCUUCCUUGACUCUAUGCCCAGACGCCUGCAUCUGCUGUUCACUUAGACGGGGUAAGAAGCAAACCUUCUGAUUCUUGGCCUGAUUCAGGGCAUCUGAAAGGAGAAUUAGUCAUGGCUUUGUUCACGGUCUGAGAAUGUUCAGUCUUGUCCCACCUGCUUGUAGGAACUUGAACGCAACCAGUGUAUCUCACGUUUCCCAGCCCUGGCUGGCCAAAGAGCCUGACUUGUAACAGUCUUGACAAGGCCUGCUCUGCAUGGCUCAGUGACAUCACUUGGAAACUGGCUUCUUCCCUGGCGGAGCGAGUGAGGUGACAUUGCUGAAAGGCAAGAGGAAGUCGGAGCAGCUGCAGCCUGGCUUCUCCAGGGUGCACGUCUCAGCCUGUUCGCGCGCGCCUGUGCUGGAAGCUUAGCUGGAAGAAGACUAUUUUAAGCUGGAGAAACAGAACGGUCCAGGAGCCUGCUGUUGAGAGACUGCCUGUUAGGAUGCGAUGCCCUUGCCUGCAAUCGCUACAUGAACUCACAACCUGAACUUGUACAAUGAGGCCUCAGUAAGACUGGGAACGUGACCCACAACACAGUCCGUGCUUACGCUUUGAUGCUCCUUGUUUGGCUUCCUAAAUCGCUGGGCAAUGCAGACUCUUAUGUUUGCUCUUCUCUCUGGCCUUUGGGACCUUCCUUUUAUUUCUUCUUUUUAUUUCUUCUUCCACGUCAAAUCUUCUGGCCCCCAUAAGUCUCUCUGGACAUCCCAAACUUAGUCAGCUUCCCUCAUACAGCUUGUACAACUGUACAAGCUACCAGACUGGGAGCUGAUCUUCAGGCCCCAAGGAUCUGUGCCGUUUUCUUAAUUUGUAACUGAGGGUCUGCUCAAAAAAGUUAAUGAAUAAUAAAAAAAAAAAACCUGAGU
rnacentral:lncRNA from 1 species